GAAUAUCUGUGAUGUGCGCAUUGUUCCAUUUAGUGUUGACCGAACAAAUUAGUAUUACAUUGGGAUUUAACGAGCAGCUUUUAAAAACAUGCCUUAUCACUUGGUAGUUUGCGAUUGCUGCAGCAAGUCCCACCUGCUUAGAAGCGGGUUCAAUACUCAGGAACGACAAACGGCAUCUACGGAUAUUUU
rnacentral:other from 1 species